UAUAUUUUCUACUCCUAAUAGACUAAGCUGAGAUAUGCCACCCAUGCUGCUCAUGUCUGAUGAUGGCUAAGACUCCAAUCAAAAGUUAAAAAACUGAAUGUGCUAAGAUCUUGAAUUGAGUUGAUGGGUCAAGCCUUGUGUCUCUUAGUGUUGUUGAUGUUCUGUGUAGGGAUCACCAGAGGAGGUGACCUGCUGCUGGGUCCCCGGUCUUCAGGAAUUCGGGGAGGUCCAGGGAUGUGUGCAACGAGGCUGCCUGUGGCCAGAGGGCCUAGAUAGGCCAACGUUAGGGACUAGAGCUACCCUGGAAUCUAGGGAGUGAUGGGGGAGCAACUCAGCCAGCCUGGGUCUCCCCUCAGCCCUGGAUAAUCCCAUCAAAACAAGCCAUCCUGUCAGCAUCACUCAUGGGCAUCACACUUGGGAUAGCAUUAAAGGCAUGCAUUUGAAAACUAAACUGAACCAUCAGGGAGGAGGAGAAAGGAGCUGUACCCAUGCAUCAGUCUUGCCUAAUUACUCACCCCAGGGCCUGACAGGGAUGCAGGGCUCACUGGGAGCCUUCCCCCCUGGGGGAAGAGAAGGAGGCUGGGAAAGUGGGAGGAUGGAUUCCUGACACAAAGCUUCAGCCCCGUAGGACAUUUUGAUUAUGAGAACAUGUACUCUUCAUUCAUUUCCUGCCACCUGAACACUCACAGAGAGUCAUAAUAGGCCCUCAAUUGUUGCGUAUGUUUACGUAAACAUAGGAAGGGGGACACAUUGAAACAACAUGUGAAAAUGUUGAUAUGGCUGAGUAGAAAACGUUAUGAAUGUGUGAAUGACUCUUGCGAAUUAAAAUGAGUAUGAUCUAAAAGGGUAAGCACAAUUCUAAUUUGCUGAGGCAAUUAGUGAAUUUCCCGGUGAUCGUUAAUGCCUUCCUCUCAUAGCAGGUGGCGGUAGUAGCAUUUAUUAUGGUCACCGUGAUUUAUGUAGACUUCCUGCGUCCUCUCUAACGUGCACAUUUCCAGGCAAUAGUGUUUCGUGGUGGUUGUUUCGGGUCCUUGGUUCUUUCCAUAAUGUCUCACCCCGGGCUUUGCAUGCCUGCUGAACAAUAAUAAAAUGGAGGAAAGCAUUUAGACUGAAGAGCAGUAAAUUCUUCUCACUACAGACGAUCUUUAGGAGCAACAUUCAAGUGGAAGGGUUGGGAACUGCAACCCUGAACCUUCCUUUGAGAGGCAGUGACUUAAGGCAGGGCAGAGGAUUAUCCAAGACUAGGACGGUUACUGUGUCAGCGAUGUGCACUUCCUUCACUGUGUACAUACUGGAUCUUCUCAACGUGCUCCCGAGAGAUGUCUGCACCCAGAAGACAAAGGACAAGGGCCAAGAAGCUCUGCCCUCUGGAAAAAGGACAUGAGAUGUGAAGACCGCUUCAGAGGAGUGUCCUGUCAGAAACACCUUCACCUGUAGAGGAUUUUUACAAGCUUAUUGGAGCCAAACUGAC